CCGGAGGAGGGAGCAUCAGAGGUGCUGAAGGAGGCUAGGGGAGUGAUGGAGAGGAUCAGGGAAGCAAAGGAGCAGGCCCUAGCUCUC
rnacentral:SRP_RNA from 1 species